rnacentral:rRNA from 1 species
GACAAGAGUUUGAUCCUGGCUCAGGGUGAACGCUGGCGGUAUGCCUAAGACAUGCAAGUCGCACGGACUGUUUCGGCAGUUAGUGGCGGACGGGUGAGUAACACGUAGGUGACCUGCCCCAAAGUCGGGGACAACUAGGAGAAAUCUUAGCUAAUCCCCGAUGUGAACCUCGGUCCUGACCGAUGUUCAAAGCUUCGGCGCUUUGGGAUGGGCCUGCGCUGGAUCAGGUAGUUGGUAGGGUAAUGGCCUACCAAGCCGACGACCCAUAGCUGGUCUGAGAGGACGACCAGCCACAGGGGUACUGAGACACGGACCCCACUCCUACGGGAGGCAGCAGUUAGGAAUCUUCCGCAAUGGGCGAAAGCCUGACGGAGCGAUACCGCUUGAAGGACGAAGCCCCUCGGGGUGUAAACUUCUGAACUGGGGACGAUGAUGACGGUACCCAGGUAAUAGCACCGGCUAACUCCGUGCCAGCAGCCGCGGUAAUACGGAGGGUGCGAGCGUUACCCGGAUUUACUGGGUGUAAAGGGCGUGUAGGCGGUCUCUUAAGUCCGAUGCUAAAGACCAAGGCUCAACCUCGGGAAUGCGUUGGAUACUGUGAGGCUAGACGGUCGGAGAGGGUAGCGGAAUUUCCGGAGUAGCGGUGAAAUGCGCAGAUACCGGAAGGAACGCCGAUAGCGAAAGCAGCUACCUGGACGAUUUGUGACGCUGAGGCGCGAAAGCGUGGGGAGCAAA